GCAUCGAUGAAGAACGCAGCCAGCUGCGACAAGCAGUGUGGAUUGCAGAAUUCAGUGAAUCAUUGAAUCUUUGAACGCAAAUGGCGCUCUUGGGUUCUCCCAGGAGCAUGUCUGUCUGAGUGUCGGAU
rnacentral:rRNA from 1 species